AACACAUGCAAGUCGAACGAGAAAGUGGAGCAAUCCAUGAGUACAGUGGCGUACGGGUGAGUAACACGUGACUAACCUACCCUCGAGUGGGGAAUAACUUCGGGAAACCGAGGCUAAUACCGCAUAACAUCUACGGAUCAAAUGCGCAAUCAGCUUGAGGAGGGGGUCGCGGCUGAUUAGCUAGUUGGCGGGGUAACGGCCCACCAAGGCAAUGAUCAGUAGCCGGCCUGAGAGGGCGCACGGCCACACUGGAACUGAAACACGGUCCAGACUCCUACGGGAGGCAGCAGUGGGGAAUUUUGCGCAAUGGGGGAAACCCUGACGCAGCAACGCCGCGUGGAGGAUGAAGCCCCUUGGGGUGUAAACUCCUUUCGAUCGGGACGAUUAUGACGGUACCGGAUGAAGAAGCACCGGCUAACUCUGUGCCAGCAGCCGCGGUAAUACAGAGGGUGCAAGCGUUGUUCGGAAUUAUUGGGCGUAAAGGGUGCGUAAGCGGUGCGGUAAGUCUUCUGUGAAACCUCCGGGCUUAACUCGGAGCCUGCAGGGGAAACUGCCGUGCUGGAGUAUGG
rnacentral:rRNA from 1 species